rnacentral:rRNA from 1 species
AUGAACGCUGGCGGCGUGCUUAACACAUGCAAGUCGAACGAAGCACUUCACGGAUCCCCUCGGGGGUGAAGUGAUUGUGACUUAGUGGCGGACGGGUGAGUAACGCGUGGGUAACCUGCCUCAUACAGGGGGGAUAACAGCUGGAAACGGCUGCUAACACCGCAUAAUAUGUGGUUGUCGCAUGGCAAUCGCAUCAAAUAUUUAUAGGUAUGAGAUGGGCCCGCGUCUGAUUAGCUAGUUGGUGAGGUAAUGGCCCACCAAGGCGACGAUCAGUAGCCGGCUUGAGAGAGUGACCGGCCACAUUGGGACUGAGACACGGCCCAAACUCCUACGGGAGGCAGCAGUAAGGAGUUUUCGGCAAUGGGGGAAACCCUGACCGAGCAACGCCGCGUGAGUGAUGACGGCCCUAUGGGUUGUAAAGCUCUGUUAUAAGGGACGAACAGCUUUGCUAGGAAAUGAGCAGAGUCUGGCGGUACUUUAUCAGAAAGCCACGGCUAACUACGUGCCAGCCGCCGC